UUAAAAGAAAAAUUGAAACCUUUUAUCCCCGUUGACAAAAAAAAACCCUUUAUCUCCAGCCCCGACUAAACUCCAUUCUCUCUAGUUCAUGAAGAUAGCGAUUCAGUAUCUGAACCUAAUUGAUCCUGUAAACUUACACAACGAAACCCAAUCCUCUUCGUAUCGGAGUCUGUGACCACUACGGAGCCAGCUGGAUAAGAUAUCAGAGAAGAACCACCACGGUGGUGAUUGACGAUGACGACGGGAAGAAGAAGUCUUCGAACUCUCCCUCUUUUAUGAAAUCGAAUGCUUACCCCUUGUUCGGAAGGGAGAAGCUUGUACACAAGGUUCUCGGCUGUGGAAACUUUGUAGUGGAUGCAAUGGUGGUGGCUCGAUGGCUGAGACGUUGAUGGUGGGAGUAACGUUAUCUAGUUUGUUAACCAUGGACAGAGAAUUCAAAUAAAAUACUAUACUCUUUGGUGAUACGGCUUAUGUUCUUUGGACAUGCCGAUGAUGGUGCUGACUAUCACUUGUUUAAUACAAGAGAGGUGAUUUUGUUUGACUUUUGAUAUGUAUGAGAGUUUAAUUGUCUGAAUGGAUGAUCCUGCCACAACUUUUGCAAAACGUGACGGUAGGGAUACGGAGAUGGAGGCCGUGGUGGAGGUGGCUUUAGAUACCGCAAUGGAGGUUAUGGAGGAGGAUGUAGUGGAUGCAGAGAUGGAAGACGUGAGGGGUGUUGAAUGUGGCUGUGGAUACUGCAAUGGUGUUGAAGGUGGCUGUGGAUACUGCAAUAGAGGUGUGGUCGAGGUGGCUGUGGAUACUGCAAUGGAGGUGUGGUUGAGGUGGCUGUGGAUACUGCAAUGGAGGUUGCGGUAGCGGAGGUGGCUACUCUGAAAGGAGAAGGUGGUGGUUGUAAAAUAUGUACACCUACACUUCAAAUAUAUCAUCAAAAAAACAUUUCCAUGGAUGUUAAAAAGAUGUCUGUGAAAAUUAUGUCCACAUAGUUAUGUACAUAAAUAUUUAUUUAAACACAGAAAACCAAUACUCACCGCAAGAUUUAAAAUUA